rnacentral:lncRNA from 1 species
GGUCUGCAUUUCUAUCAGAAUCAUGACAGGUAAAUUUUCCAGAUUGCAAAAGAAGUAUACAGCUGCUGCUACAAGCCUUAUCUACUCUUGGUGGGGGAGUAAAACACUGGCAGAAGAGAUCCAGCCUGUCCUGCAACUGUUCUAUUAUUUCCCUUUCCUAUCUCUGAACUAGAGAGGCAAUCUCAGAAUGGAGAAAUAAUGAAAGGAGUUGGAAGAAACAUUUUUCAGACUUCAAGAUGAUGGCAAAAGUGUGUGCCCGCAAAACAGAAUGCUUCAUUCAAGUUUGAUCUGAGUUUUUGUGACGAGUAAGUCACUUAGCUCUCCGUGCUUCACUUUUCUUCUUCUACUCUAGGAAUAAUGGCAAUUCCCUCCCCCUGGGGGCAUGAUGUGAUGACUGAUAGACCUAAAGAUAGCCAGGUGUUGAGUAAUUUGAAAAAGUGCUAUAAACACAGGGGACAGACUGAAUGAUAGGACCAAGAAACCCCUAGGUGGGCUCCAGGCACUAUGCAGUAGUUAGUGCCUCAUACCUCAUGUCCCAGGCUAAACAAACUUGGUGGCCCAUAAAACUUAAAACCUCCCAUAUUUACUCUUACCCUUGCAGGUAGGUUUGGAGCCAUUCCAGGUCCGGUCUUUCGUGCAUGUUAGAGAGGAUGCCCUGUCUGACUCCAUCAUGUAGCCAGGCGUGCACUGGAACACCACCGUUUUAUUGUAGGUAAAAUCCCCACCCAGCCUAAUGCCGUUGUUAAAUAUAACCUUCGAGUUGCUGGGGGUCCCAGGGUUUCCACAGGAUAUAACUAGAAAGCAAAACGGCCGGGUUAAAAAAGCAAUCCCUGCAAAUGAAAAACAAGGCUGUUAUCCUGCAGCUGACUGUUUGACACAGAAGGCAGAUUAGCCGCAAAGCCACCGGAUCAAAUCGGACGGAGAAGGCUAUUCCGUGGGCAGCCAGCCACGUCGGUCCGACAGCAUCACCGCCACCGGGUACCCCCCGAGCAAUGGGUCCUGCAGCAUCCCUGCCUGGGGAGUGGGAAAACAGCAUCCCUGCAGGCAGUUGAUCCCGAAGCACCUGGACCCCUCUCCUGCUGGGUGGAUCCCACAGUUCAGAACCACAGCCAGGCCUCCU